UACGUAGGGCGCAAGCGUUGUCCGGAAUUAUUGGGCGUAAAGAGCUCGUAGGUGGUGUGUCGCGUCUGCCGUGAAAGCCCGGGGCUUAACUCCGGGUCUGCGGUGGAUACGGGCAGACUAGAGGCAGGUAGGGGAGAACGGAAUUCCCGGUGUAGCGGUGAAAUGCGCAGAUAUCGGGAGGAACACCGGUGGCGAAGGCGGCUCUCUGGGACGGUACUGACGCUGAGACGCGAAAGCGUGGGGAGCGAACAGG
rnacentral:rRNA from 1 species